rnacentral:rRNA from 1 species
UACGGAGGGUGCAAGCGUUAUCCGGAUUCACUGGGUGUAAAGGGUGCGUAGGUGGGUUGGUAAGUCAGUGGUGAAAUCCCCGAGCUUAACUUGGGAACUGCCAUUGAUACUAUUAAUCUUGAAUACCGUGGAGGUUAGCGGAAUAUGUCAUGUAGCGGUGAAAUGCUUAGAUAUGACAUAGAACACCAAUUGCGAAGGCAGCUGGCUACACGAAUAUUGACACUGAUGCACGAAAGCGUGGGGAUCAAACAGG